rnacentral:rRNA from 1 species
UACAGAGGUCCCGAGCGUUGUUCGGAUUCACUGGGCGUAAAGGGUGCGCAGGUGGGUUGGCAAGUUCGAUGUGAAAGCCCCGGGCUUAACCCGGGAAUGGCAUUGGAAACUGCUGAUCUGGAGGAUCGGAGGGGGGACUGGAAUUCUUGGUGUAGCAGUGAAAUGCGCAGAUAUCAGGAGGAACACCGGCGGCGAAGGCGGGUCUCUGGGCCGUAACUGACGCUGAGGAGCGAAAGCGUGGGGAGCGAACAGG